UGCCAGCCGCCGCGGUAAUACGAACUGUGCGAACGUUAUUCGGAAUCACUGGGCUUAAAGGGUGCGUAGGCGGUCAUUUAAGCAGGGUGUGAAAUGCCCCGGCUCAACCGGGGAAUGGCGCUCUGAACUGGAUGGCUUGAGUGAGAUAGAGGUGUGCGGAACUUCCGGUGGAGCGGUGAAAUGUGUUGAUAUCGGAGGGAACACCGUUGGCGAAAGCGGUACACUGGGUCUUAACUGACGCUGAGGCACGAAAGCCAGGGUAGCGAACGGGAUUAGAUA
rnacentral:rRNA from 1 species